ensembl:snoRNA
AUCCUUUUUCAGUUCAUAAACGUGAUGAUUGGGUUUUCAUGUGCAUAUGUGAGAUGUGCCUCGCUCAAAACUUGUUACAACAUUGGCACAUUUCCUGUCUGACA